rnacentral:rRNA from 1 species
UACGGGGGGAGCAAGCGUUGUUCGGAUUUACUGGGCGUAAAGGGCGCGUAGGCGGCCACCGCAAGUCGGUUGUGAAAUCUCCGGGCUUAACUCGGAAAGGUCAGCCGAUACUGCGGGGCUAGAGUGCAGAAGGGGCAACUGGAAUUCUCGGUGUAGCGGUGAAAUGCGUAGAUAUCGAGAGGAACACCUGCGGCGAAGGCGGGUUGCUGGGCUGACACUGACGCUGAUGCGCGAAAGCUAGGGGAGCGAACGGG